CUCGUGUCACCAGUUCAAAUCUGGUUCCUGGC
rnacentral:tRNA from 42 species